ACUAUGGCCUACUAUACUUUUGUGGUUGCCAUAGUCACUCUAUUCACAGUCAAGUAAAUGGUGCAGUGAAGUGCUUCCUGGUCCACAAGGCUUACAAUUAAGAGUCAUGGCACAGUUGAAUGCUCUCUGAGUGAAUACUGAAUACUGAGAGAUAAAAUGCAGGCUGGGACCUGUCAGGCUUUUGAGGUGUUUCGAGACAGAAACAGGACAGGAUGGACGUGUGGAAGUGUCUGACCCACCCCAUUCUGGUGCUGUUGGUCUAGACGUGCCCCUGGAUGUUUGGAACCAUUCUUCCCAACAGUGCUACUGCGAAAGUGCACUGAAUUGGGGCAGCGUAGGACAGAAUUUACAAGAAUCUGUAGUCAUUCUGUGGUCUUUGGAUUUUGGUUAGGAGGUGAACUGGUCAGCCAGUGUGUACUGAAUGGAUGAGUGGCAUGCACCGGCUGGACAGAGGAGAACCAACGAUGUCUGAGUGUGUGGUGAGUCAGCUAACCUUAAACAGAGCUGAGGUGGCUCCUGAGUCAGAUGGCAAGCCUGCCCUUGUCCAGUAUACCUCACCGUAUGUGUUCCCUUUAUGUAGACACUUGAAUUAGACAAAGCUACUGCAGAUAAAGCAUGUUUUUCUCGUCACUGCUUGACCUCCUUGAGAACCAAAACUAGUGAGUUUGAGAAGCUACAGUGUAGCGACCGUAACACAUUCCCACUCUUGGGCCAUAGGAACAGUACGUAUCUCUGAAGGAUGUAUUGUCAUGGUCAUUUCACAAGAUUUGAGGACGGUGACGGUGGAGCAGCUGUCACCGUGACGACGUGGUGGAAUGCUAGUCUCUUCUCUGAGGAAUGAGCGACCCCUCCUUCCUCCCCCUCUCUGCGUCCUUUGGUCCUCCACAAAAACGUUUGACUUGUCUGUCGAGGCCUCUCCGCGGCCUGUCCGGCUGCUACUUUACCAUUCGCCGUAAAAGAGUUUGGUAAACAAACGGAUUGGGAAGAAUUUCUAAUUGUAAACUUUGUACUCACGGAAACAAAGGCCUUGCCUCAGACCCCAGUGGGCAGGGUUUGACGUGGUUGAUCUCCACUAUACUGUGGAAUUUCCUUGUAAAAGCUGCUAAAGGAACAUCUCAUCUCCUAAAGCUUCUGUGGCAGUAAAGUCUCACAUCAAACUCACUGCACUAUGAGUCUGUUAUGGAACCUGGCCAAAAUAACGUUUAUAUGGAGAACAUUGUGUAGGUUGUCUGUAUAUGAAGGUCCACUGUUACUAACAGUUUCACAAAGUCACAACUUGAUAAUAUAGACUAAAAAUACUUUAGUAACCAGUAAUGAAUGGAAAUAUUUAUUUAUAAUCACAUUACACUUACAUGACACACAGUAAGCCAUUAAUACAUACACUAAAUUUGGAACAGUUCAGGUCAGUUUCAAAUCUUCAAAACAUUUAUGCCUACAUAAAUAUGAUAGGCUAUGUAUGAAAAUGAGAUAAAGUAUGUUGAAAAAAAUGUUACAGUGUAGAGAUGCAAUAGAAAAUCAUUAAAAUUUUCAAAUACUGGUACUUUUGUUUGUUAUUGUUGACACAGUGUACUGACCCAGGAGGUCAUAAAGCCAGCACCAUCCUUUUCAUGUUUCUUUAUUCACUUUGAACCAAGUCAGAGGAGCGUGCACCCAUACACACACACACACACACACACACACACACACACACACA